GAAUGUUUUCCCUAUUUUGGAUUUUACCAAAUAUAACGCACAUCGAAAAAGUCAUAGGUUUUCUCACUUUCUUACAACCUUUGACAAGACAUUAGAGCAAAGCAAGAACAAAAGAAAAUGACAACAUCAAAAAGAGUUGCAGAGAGGAAAGUGGCUAAGUUUGAGAAGAACAUAACAAGAAGAGGAUUGAACAUAACAGGGAAGAACAAAAUGGAACCAGCACACAUUGUUCUUGCACUCUUUGCUGUUUUGGUCAUUGGAUCAUUUAUUUUCCAGGUGGUGAAGAUGGCUAUUAAUGGUGGGAACAAUGAAGAUUGAAGCUUUUAGUUUCUUCUUCUCAAGAAUGCUACAUUAAGAAAUCUUAUAAAAAUCUAUAUUUUCAAACAAACUAUAAAUAAUUUUGUUACAACAUUCUCUCUUGCUUUGUUGUACUAACUUGUUAUGUUAAUUUCUUUU